rnacentral:rRNA from 1 species
GAUGAACGCUGGCGGCGUGCCUAAUACAUGCAAGUAGAACGCUGAAGGAGGAGCUUGCUCUUCUGGAUGAGUUGCGAACGGGUGAGUAACGCGUAGGUAACCUGCCUGGUAGCGGGGGAUAACUAUUGGAAACGAUAGCUAAUACCGCAUGACAACAGCUAUUGCAUGAUAACUGUUUAAAAGGGGCAACUGCUCCACUACCAGAUGGACCUGCGUUGUAUUAGCUAGGAGGUGAGGUAACGGCUCACCAAGGCGACGAUACAUAGCCGACCUGAGAGGGGGGUCGGCCGCCCUGAGAGUGAGACCCGGCACAGACUGCUACGGGAGGCAGCAGUAGUGAAUCUUCGGCAAUGGGCGGAAGUCAGACCGAGCAACGCCGCGGGAGUGUAGAAGGUUUUCGGGUCGUAAAGCUCUGUUGUAAGGGAAGAACGCGUGUGAGAGUGGAAAGUUCACACUGUGACGGUAUCUUACCAGAAAGGGACGGCUAACUACGUG